rnacentral:lncRNA from 1 species
AUCGCUUCGGUCAAAAUAGGACAAAUCAUGCGAAGGAUAUAACGAGCAAUUUUGUAAAAUAAUUUUGUCAUAAUCUUUUACGGUUGCGAAGGAGAUGCGCUAACAAGGAAAACAGUGUUUGGGGAGAUAACUCCUACAAAGAAAAGUAUUCGUUUACGCAGGGUAAAUUUCAAAAGCGCAUGAACUGUUCGAUAUCAUAUACCAAAUAUCUAAGCGACAUAUUGCGAAACAAAUGUUUAUCGCAAGAACAAAAUUAGGCGGAAGAAAAAAAAGAAAAAAAUAAUCAGAAGAAAAACAAUAGGUCUUUCCACAGAAAAGUGGAAAGACCUAAUAAUCAGAAGAAAAACAAUAGGUCUUUCCACAGAAAAGUGGAAAGACCUAAUAAUGGCCAAAA